rnacentral:lncRNA from 1 species
ACCUGCUGCAAGGGCUUCCAGGUGACUUCCAGAGAGGAAAGAUGACAGUCAGGAUAAUAAUGAGAGCCACAGGGACUGAGCUCUUACUUUGUGGAUGGGACAAGUAUAACAAAAGCACAGAUAUUAAGCGUGCAGGGGCUCUGUGAGCAGGAAAGACUAGGAAGCUGGAGUGCGUGGAGGGGCUACAUAAAGAAGGGAAGGAGCUGAUGGCCAGCUUGGCUGUCUGUGCCUGGUGCUGAACAGCGAAGGAGCCUGCUAUGGUCCCUCUGACACUCGCCUCCUGGUGGAAAGUCCCCAUGGAAUCAGCGCCAAGUCCCAUCACAUAUAUGUCCACCAAAGUACCAUUUACCAUGUUGCAGUGUAGCAGAAGACCAU